UACGAAGGGGGCGAGCGUUGUUCGGAAUUACUGGGCGUAAAGGGCGCGUAGGCGGGCGACCCCAAGUCAGAUGUGAAAGUCCUGGGCUUAACCUGGGGACUGCAUUUGAUACUGGGUUGCUUGAAUUCGGGAGAGGAUAGCGGAAUUCCCAGUGUAGAGGUGAAAUUCGUAGAUAUUGGGAAGAACACCGGUGGCGAAGGCGGCUAUCUGGACCGACAUUGACGCUGAGACGCGAAAGCGUGGGGAGCAAACAGG
rnacentral:rRNA from 1 species